rnacentral:rRNA from 1 species
CGCUGGCGGCGUGCCUAACACAUGCAAGUCGAGCGAGGAGAUUCCUUCGGGAUGAUCCUAGCGGCGGACGGGUGAGUAACACGUGGGCAACCUGCCUCAUAGAGAGGAAUAGCCUUCCGAAAGGGAGAUUAAUACCUCAUAACAUUGCAGUUUCGCAUGGAACAGCAAUUAAAGGAGUAAUCCGCUAUGAGAUGGGCCCGCGGCGCAUUAGCUAGUUGGUGAGGUAACGGCUCACCAAGGCGACGAUGCGUAGCCGACCUGAGAGGGUGAUCGGCCACAUUGGGACUGAGACACGGCCCAGACUCCUACGGGAGGCAGCAGUGGGGAAUAUUGCACAAUGGGGGAAACCCUGAUGCCAGCAACGCCGCGUGAGUGAUGACGGCCUUCGGGUUGUAAAGCUCUGUCUUCAGGGACGAUAAUGACGGUACCUGAGGAGGAAGCCACGGCUAACUACGUGCCAGCCGCGGC